CACUCUGGUGGCCUAGUGGUUAGAGCAUAUGCCCCAGAUGCAUGAGGUUGUGGGUUCAAACCCCGCCUGAGUCA